AUCUUAUCAAGAGUGGUGGAGGGACUGGCCCUGUGAAACCCAGCAACCUAUUAACAGUUAAAAGUUAGUAGUUAAGGUAAAACUUCAAUGGUGUUUUAAAAUUUGGAGAUUUUAAAGAAAUUUUAACCUUAACAAUCAACUAAUAACUAUUAAUGUGGUGCUAAUUCCUGCAGUUUUUUAACUGAGUGAUGAGAG
rfam:Clostridium celatum DSM 1785 genomic scaffold Scfld111, whole genome shotgun sequence.